CAACAUAGUCAUAGCCACAAUCAGCUUCUUCUUCCACUUCAAAGGUCUGAAAGGACAAUUCAAGUCGAGAGCCUCCCUCGUUCUGACACUAACAACCACUCACAGUCCAUCUGUCCUGGGUAGUUGUUAUCUCCAAACUGUGCGUGAUCAGAUGUAAUUUCCACAACCCAAGAGCCUAAGUACAAAGACGAGAGCUCAGGCUGCCUGAGUUGGAAUGUAAGCUCCAACACCUACAAAGUCUGUGACCUGGGUUAGCAUUUGCAUUGCCUUCACUAAACUGCCCAGGAAGUCCUGAAGGGAGCAUCAGGAGAUGUGGAGGGGGCCCUUGCUGGUGUGUGCCUGCUUCCUAGAAACAAGGCAGGGAAACAAAAGCAUCCGAAAGAGGCAGUCCUCUGUCAGCCCCAGCCUGAAACAGAACUCAAGGAGGAAGUAAGCAGUGGAGCACAAUGGGGAAAGAGGUUUCCCCAAGUCUUCAUGAACCUAAAAAUCACAGGAAGGUGUCAUUACUCCAUUUGACUGAAAACUGGUCUGCCUUGGGGGAAGUAAAAAAAUAAAAAUGACUUAAACUACACUUAAGGAUAUUUUUAAAUGCUGCACUAAGUUCCCUUUUCAUCUGUUUCAGUGCUCAAUACCACGGAUCACUGCUAUACUAAUAAAUCUGAAAAUGAUGUUCUUACCAUAAAGAGAGAGAGAGAAUUUAGCCUAGAUGAAGAACAUUUGAAGGAUGAAUAUGGGAACAUUAUGUGCAAAAGACGUGUGAUUUUAAUAUGUCCUGAGAGAAAGUCCAGGACAGGCAGCCUGAGGGCAAUUGCUUGAGUGUUUUAUUUAUUUUUUUAAAGAUUCCCCAUGGCUAUUCAAACUCUGGUCAACAGCAUUUAACAGGUCCCUUGAAAAGAUGAUUUUUUAAUAGAGUCAACAAAUUUUUGGCGAAUAUCCCUAUUCAUUUAUCAAGUCAGAAAAACCUAAAACCAGUUGUUCAGUAUGUCAGCAAAUUUUUUUUUUUUUGAAUCAAUACUUUGAAAGUACUUUACGAGCUGCCAGAGAGAGAGUCUUUCACAAAAUUCUGGGAAAUGCAAUUGGAGCUGAAUAAGAAAGAUAACUGGAAGAGAAGCCAAGGGGUGGGCUUCAUUUUAAUUUGGAAAGAUGUGUUUACUUCCUGGUAAAGUAUUACAUUAAAGAAGAGGUGCCUGUAAUUUGACCUACAAAUGCUUUUAGCGAGCAUUCUAAUUGAAUUGAUUUUGAUCAAAAUAAUUUCCAAGGAGCAUAAUCAUACAUUAUUGGAUUUUUAAAUGUCAUUGACAAAUAAUAUGAUGCUUUAUACUACAAAAACGACGUCCUAACAGACAAUGCCAUGUUUAAAAAUUACAUAUUUUCUCUCCAAGUUUCUCCCCUCUGAGAGAACAGUACUUCUUACUUCAAAAUUUGCUU